ACAUUGAAUAAGACAAGUGGCCUUCUCUCCUCUGUGGGGAGCAUCAGAUUUGUAAAAGUGGGUGUUGGGAGGCUUUUUUGUCUUGGUGAGACUUUCAGCCUCAGAGACCAGCUGUUUUGGUGCUGUCAGCCUCAUUCCCUCCAGUCCAUCUCUUCUGGGACAGAUGAACUCCCAUGAAGGACUUCAGGUGGAUUAGCAUAUCAGAGGACAGCUGGAACUGUUCAGGUUGAUGCUUCCAGUGAAGUAGUUCUUUCGCAGAACAUGUCGCAGUCAGUCGAUGCAGAAUCCUUACAGCAACAGCCUUACUUCAAUCAUUGCCCCCCAGCCCCCUCGCCAAACACGGACGGGGUGGGGAAGUGAAGCAGAAGUAAAACAGGACAAAAUCCAGAUGUCAGGGGAUAAGGCAGAGCAUGUGACCAAUUGCAUAAUGGGUGUGGUUUAACUAAAUGCAAGAGUGUUGAAAUAUCUCUUAUGUCAAGAUUUUGACUUCUCUACAGAUAUAGCUGCUCUAAUUUCUAUGGCCGCAGUACAUCCAACCGGCCUCACAACCGCAGACCACGUGUAACCACACCAGCCCAGGACCUCCACAUCCAGCAUGUUCACCUCCAAGAUUGUCUGAGACCAUCCACAAGGACAGCUGCUGCAACAAUCGGUUUGCAUAACCAAAGAAUUUCUGCACAAACUGUCCGAAACCAUCUCAGGGGAAGCUCAUCUACAUGCUCGUCGUCCUCAUCGGGGUCUCGACCUGACUGCAGUUCAUCGUCGUAACUGACUCGAGUGGGCGAAUGCUCACAUUCGAUGGCAUCUGGCACGUUGGAGAGGUGUUCUCUUCACGGAUAAAUCCCGGUUUUCACUGUUCAGGGCAGAUGGCAGACAGCAUGUGUGGCGACGUGUGGGUGAGCGGUUUGCUGUCAACGUUGUGGAUCGAGUGGCCCAUGGUGGGGUUAUGGUAUGGGCAGGCGUAUGUUAUGGACAACGAACACAGGUGUAUUUUAUUGAUGGCAUUUUGAAUGCACAGAGAUACCGUGAUGAGAUCCUGAUGCCCAUUGUUGUGACAUUCAUCCAUGACCACCUCAUGUUGCUACAUGAUAAUGCACGGCCACAUGUUGCAAGGAUCGGUGCACGAUUCCCGGAAGCUGAAAACAUCCCAGUUCUUGCAUGGCCAGCAUACUCCCCGGACAUGUAACCCAUUGAGCAUGUUUGGGAUGCUCUGGAUCGGCGUAUACGACAGCGUGUUCCAGUUCCUGCCAAUAUCCAGCAACUUCGCACAGCCAUUGAAGAGGAGUAGACCAACUUUCCACAGGCCACAAUCAACAACUUGAUCAACCAUGCGAAGGAGAUGUGUUGCACUGCGUGAGGCAAAUGGUGGUCACACCAGAUACUGACUGGUUUUCUGACCCCCACAAUAAAGCAAAACUGCACAUUUCAGAGUGGCCUUUUAUUGUGGCCAGCCUAAGGCACACCUGUGCAAUAAUCAUGCUGUCUAAUCAGCAUCUCGAUAUGUCACACCUGUGAGGUGGGAUGGAUUAUCUCGACAAAGGAGAAAUGCUCACUAAAACAGAUUUAGACAGACUUUGAAGGAAAUGGCCUUUUGUGUAUGUAGAAAAGUUUUAGAUCCUUGAGUCCAGCUCACGA